GGACUACCCGGGUAUCUAAUCCUGUUUGCUCCCCAUGCUUUCGCACCUCAGUGUCAGUCUGAACCCAGAUCGCCGCCUUCGCCACUGGUGUUCUUUCCGAUCUCUACGCAUUUCACUGCUACACCGGAAAUUCCACGACCCUCUGUUCGACUCUAGUCUUACAGUUUUCAACGCCAUUCCCAGGUUAAGCCCAGGGCUUUCACAUCAAACUUAUAAAACCACCUACAUGCGCUUUACGCCCAGUAAUUCCGAUUAACGCUUGCACCCUCUGUAUUACCGCGGCUGCUGGCAC
rnacentral:rRNA from 1 species